UAAUACGGAGGGGGCGAGCGUUGUCCGAAUUUAUUGGGCGUAAAGCGCGUGUAGGCGGAUUUUUAAGCCUGAGGUGAAAGGUUGGGGCUCAACCCCAUACAGUGCCUUGGGGACUGGGAGUCUGGAGGCAGGCAGAGGAGUGUGGAAUUCCUGGUGUAGCGGUGGAAUGCGUAGAUAUCAGGAAGAACACCCGUGGCGAAGGCGGCACUCUGGGCCUGUACUGACGCUGAGACGCGAAAGCGCGGGGAGCGAACAGGAUUAGAUACCCUGGUAGUCCGCGCCGUAAACGAUGGAUGCUCGGUGUUGGGGGUAUCGACCCCCUCGGCGCCUAAGGUAACCCGGUAAGCAUCCCGCCUGGGGAGUACGGCCGCAAGGUUGAAACUCAAAGGAAUUGACGG
rnacentral:rRNA from 1 species